rnacentral:rRNA from 1 species
GGUUAAGCGACUAAGCGUACACGGUGGAUGCCCUGGCAGUCAGAGGCGAUGAAGGGCGUGCUAAUCUGCGAUAAGCGCCGGUAAGGUGAUAUGAACCGUUAUAACCGGCGAUACCCGAAUGGGGAAACCCAGUGUGAUUCGUCACACUAUCAUUAACUGAAUCCAUAGGUUAAUGAGGCGAACCGGGGGAACUGAAACAUCUAAGUACCCCGAGGAAAAGAAAUCAACCGAGAUUCCCCCAGUAGCGGCGAGCGAACGGGGAGGAGCCCAGAGCCUGAAUCAGCAUGUGUGUUAGUGGAAGCGUCUGGAAAGGCGCGCGAUACAGGGUGACAGCCCCGUACACAAAAGCGCAUGUGUUGUGAGCUCGAUGAGUAGGGCGGGACACGUGGUAUCCUGUCUGAAUAUGGGGGGACCAUCCUCCAAGGCUAAAUACUCCUGACUGACCGAUAGUGAACCAGUACCGUGAGGGAAAGGCGAAAAGAACCCCGGCGAGGGGAGUGAAAAAGAACCUGAAACCGUGUACGUACAAGCAGUGGGAGCACAGGUUUACCUGUGUGACUGCGUACCUUUUGUAUAAUGGGUCAGCGACUUAUAUUCUGUAGCAAGGUUAACCGUAUAGGGGAGCCGUAGGGAAACCGAGUCUUAACCGGGCGUUAAGUUGCAGGGUAUAGACCCGAAACCCGGUGAUCUAGCCAUGGGCAGGUUGAAGGUUGGGUAACACUAACUGGAGGACCGAACCGACUAAUGUUGAAAAAUUAGCGGAUGACCUGUGGCUGGGGGUGAAAGGCCAAUCAAACCGGGAGAUAGCUGGUUCUCCCCGAAAGCUAUUUAGGUAGCGCCUCGUGAAUUCAUCUCCGGGGGUAGAGCACUGUUUCGGCUAGGGGGCCAUCCCGGCUUACCAACCCGAUGCAAACUGCGAAUACCGGAGAAUGUUAUCACGGGAGACACACGGCGGGUGCUAACGUCCGUCGUGAAGAGGGAAACAACCCAGACCGCCAGCUAAGGUCCCAAAGUCAUGGUUAAGUGGGAAACGAUGUGGGAAGGCCCAGACAGCCAGGAUGUUGGCUUAGAAGCAGCCAUCAUUUAAAGAAAGCGUAAUAGCUCACUGGUCGAGUCGGCCUGCGCGGAAGAUGUAACGGGGCUAAACCAUGCACCGAAGCUGCGGCAGCGACGCUUAUGCGUUGUUGGGUAGGGGAGCGUUCUGUAAGCCUGUGAAGGUGGCCUGUGAGGGUUGCUGGAGGUAUCAGAAGUGCGAAUGCUGACAUAAGUAACGAUAAAGCGGGUGAAAAGCCCGCUCGCCGGAAGACCAAGGGUUCCUGUCCAACGUUAAUCGGGGCAGGGUGAGUCGACCCCUAAGGCGAGGCCGAAAGGCGUAGUCGAUGGGAAACGGGUUAAUAUUCCCGUACUUGGUGUUACUGCGAAGGGGGGACGGAGAAGGCUAUGUUGGCCGGGCGACGGUUGUCCCGGUUUAAGCGUGUAGGUGUGUGUUCCAGGUAAAUCCGGUUCACUUUAACACUGAGGCGUGAUGACGAGGCACUACGGUGCUGAAGCAACAAAUGCCCUGCUUCCAGGAAAAGCCUCUAAGCAUCAGGUAACAUCAAAUCGUACCCCAAACCGACACAGGUGGUCAGGUAGAGAAUACCAAGGCGCUUGAGAGAACUCGGGUGAAGGAACUAGGCAAAAUGGUGCCGUAACUUCGGGAGAAGGCACGCUGACACGUAGGUGAAGUGAUUUACUCACGGAGCUGAAGUCAGUCGAAGAUACCAGCUGGCUGCAACUGUUUAUUAAAAACACAGCACUGUGCAAACACGAAAGUGGACGUAUACGGUGUGACGCCUGCCCGGUGCCGGAAGGUUAAUUGAUGGGGUCAGCGCAAGCGAAGCUCCUGAUCGAAGCCCCGGUAAACGGCGGCCGUAACUAUAACGGUCCUAAGGUAGCGAAAUUCCUUGUCGGGUAAGUUCCGACCUGCACGAAUGGCGUAAUGAUGGCCAGGCUGUCUCCACCCGAGACUCAGUGAAAUUGAACUCGCUGUGAAGAUGCAGUGUACCCGCGGCAAGACGGAAAGACCCCGUGAACCUUUACUAUAGCUUGACACUGAACAUUGAGCCUUGAUGUGUAGGAUAGGUGGGAGGCUUUGAAGCGUGGACGCCAGUCUGCGUGGAGCCGACCUUGAAAUACCACCCUUUAAUGUUUGAUGUUCUAACGUGGACCCGUGAUCCGGGUUGCGGACAGUGUCUGGUGGGUAGUUUGACUGGGGCGGUCUCCUCCUAAAGAGUAACGGAGGAGCACGAAGGUUGGCUAAUCCUGGUCGGACAUCAGGAGGUUAGUGCAAUGGCAUAAGCCAGCUUGACUGCGAGCGUGACGGCGCGAGCAGGUGCGAAAGCAGGUCAUAGUGAUCCGGUGGUUCUGAAUGGAAGGGCCAUCGCUCAACGGAUAAAAGGUACUCCGGGGAUAACAGGCUGAUACCGCCCAAGAGUUCAUAUCGACGGCGGUGUUUGGCACCUCGAUGUCGGCUCAUCACAUCCUGGGGCUGAAGUAGGUCCCAAGGGUAUGGCUGUUCGCCAUUUAAAGUGGUACGCGAGCUGGGUUUAGAACGUCGUGAGACAGUUCGGUCCCUAUCUGCCGUGGGCGCUGGAGAACUGAGGGGGGCUGCUCCUAGUACGAGAGGACCGGAGUGGACGCAUCACUGGUGUUCGGGUUGUCAUGCCAAUGGCACUGCCCGGUAGCUAAAUGCGGAAGAGAUAAGUGCUGAAAGCAUCUAAGCACGAAACUUGCCCCGAGAUGAGUUCUCCCUGAGACUUAGAGUCUCCUGAAGGAACGUUGAAGACGACGACGUUGAUAGGCCGGGUGUGUAAGCGCAGCGAUGCGUUGAGCUAACCGGUACUAAUGAACCGUGAGGCUUAACCUUAC